CUAUAAACACUCAAUGGCUUUCCCCUUUCUCCUUUUUCUGUAUUCAGAGAAGUUAUUUUAUUUUUCUAAGAUAGUGUUUAUAGUCCUAAAAUACUUAAGGUAUUUUAUAGUGUAAAUUGUCACUUUUUCAUUUGUUUAUUUCCUUCUAAAAAUGUGAGUAAAUGUUUUUUGGUGUUAGGUUGCAAAGUAUGUACUUUAAAAAAAUCAUUAGGCAUUCAUUUUCAGGGAUCUUAUCUACUUUCUCAUCUCCAUAUUUUGUUAAAGAUAAUAUUGCCAGAUGUAAAGAAAAUGGUUUAUUCUACCUAAAGAGUGGAUAAGGAGAGAAAAUUAUGAUGAAAUAAAAAUUAUAAGCAAAGUUUAUUUAAACUAAAUUUAAAUGUGAAACAUCACCUUUUUCCUAAUCAGAUUUGAUAUUGCUACGAAUAUAUAUUGAUGAUAUUGUCACUAUAUAAACAUAAGAGAAUUUAACUUUCUAUUACCAAAUAUAAUUGAAUAU
rnacentral:lncRNA from 1 species